rnacentral:miRNA from 1 species
AAGAAGAUCUGUCUGUCUUCUGUAUAUACCCUGUAGAUCCGAAUUUGUGUAGGAAUUUUGUGUCACAAAUCGUAUCUAGGGGAAUAUGUAGUGACAUAAACACUCGCUCAUUUUUU